AGUGAACGCUGGCGGUAGGCCUAACACAUGCAAGUCGAACGGCAGCACAGUAAGAGCUUGCUCUUACGGGUGGCGAGUGGCGGACGGGUGAGGAAUACAUCGGAAUCUACUUUUUCGUGGGGGAUAACGUAGGGAAACUUACGCUAAUACCUCAUACGACCUACGGGUGAAAGCAGUGGAUCUUCGGACCUUGCGCGAUUGAAUGAGCCGAUGUCGGAUUAGCUAGUUGGCGGGGUAAAGGCCCACCAAGGCGACGAUCCGUAGCUGGUCUGAGAGGAUGAUCAGCCACACUGGAACUGAGACACGGUCCAGACUCCUACGGGAGGCAGCAGUGGGGAAUAUUGGACAAUGGGCGCAAGCCUGAUCCAGCCAUACCGCGUGGGUGAAGAAGGUCUUCGGGUUGUAAAGCCCUUUUGUUGGGAAAGAAAAGCAGCAGGUUAAUACCCCGCUGUUCUGACGGUACCCAAAGAAUAAGCACCGGCUAACUUCGUG
rnacentral:rRNA from 1 species